rnacentral:rRNA from 1 species
GAUGAACGCUGGCGGCGUGCCUAAUACAUGCAAGUCGAGCGAACGGACGAUAAGCUUUCUUCUCUGAUGUUAGCGGCGGACGGGUGAGUAACACGUGGAUAACCUACCUAUAAUACUGGGAUAACUUCGGGAAACCGGAGCUAAUACCGGAUAAUAUUUUGAACCGCAUGGUUCAAAAGUGAAAGACGGUCUUGCUGUCACUUAUAGAUGGAUCCGCGCUGCAUUAGCUAGUUGGUAAGGUAACGGCUUACCAAGGCAACGAUGCAUAGCCGAUCUGAGAGGGUGAUCGGCCACACUGGAACUGAGACACGGUCCAGACUCCUACGGGAGGCAGCAGUAGGGAAUCUUCCGCAAUGGGCGAAAGCCUGACGGAGCAACGCCGCGUGAGUGAUGAAGGUCUUCGGAUCGUAAAACUCUGUUAUUAGGGAAGAACAUAUGUGUAAGUAACUGUGCACGUCUUGACGGUACCUAAUCAGAAAGCCACGGCUAACUACGUG